UAAUUCUUCAAAUGCGUUAGUUCCUGAGUCUAGCUCUCCUGCUGUUUGCCUCUUCCGCUUCGCAGGCGACUCCGCUGGUGGCGCCUUUAUGGGCUCCAUCUUCGGCUACGGUCUUCCCUUUCAUCCUCGUUAUAUAUAUAAUUUCUAUGUCUUUAUAUAAAGUUAUUGACCUUAAUUUUGCCUAAUUGGGAUUUUGAUGAAAUUAUUGGACGUUCAAUGCAGUAGAUUUAUUCCGGUUGAUGAUUAACCCUUUAGAAAACAAUUUUUGUGUGUGUUUAGCUAUGGUUGAGUGGAACGGCUGAAUUUUGCUUCCUUAGGGUAGGAAUGACGUUUAAAUCACCCGUAAUUUGACUUUGAAAUGAUUUUCGUAGUUUGAAAGCCUGGUAUUUGAGAUGUGCGUACGGUCUAGGAUUUUGUAAUGCCUGUAUGCCCAUUCUUCUAACACCCGGAUGUUUAUAAAAGUGAUGUUGUUAUUUUCAAUUUAUGGCCUACUCUAAGUUGGAGUUUAGUAUACUUGAGCUUUGGUGAUUUGAAUGAAGUAUUAAGCAGUUGGUACUUGAUAUGGGGUUGUAACAAUAGUUUUAGGAUUGAAAAUUGAAACGAAAAAUGUGUUGCAUUCAUCAUAUGAGGAAUUUUUUUGGAAAUAAAUAAUAACUGGAUGUAUGAUAACUUUGAUGCCCAUGUAAUUUCCAAGGGCCAUUUUGUACUUUUGGCACUACUUACCUUUAUAAUGUGAACUAAAUAUCUUGUAUAUGAACAUUCUAGUGCCUUUUGGUGAGAGAGAGAGAGAGAGAGAG
rnacentral:misc_RNA from 1 species